CACCUGUUUAUCAAAAACAUGGUUUUUAGAUUAUGAUUUAAAAUUGGUCCUGCUCAAUGAUAAAAUUAAAUAGCUGCAGUAAAUUGACUGUACAAAGGUAGCAUAAUCAAUUGCUUUUUAAAUGAAAGCUGGGAUGAAGGGAUUGAUGAAAUUUGAACUGUUUCAGAAUUAAAUAUUGAAUUUAUUGGUUAAGUAAAAAUUCUUAAAUAAAUUUAAGGGACGAGAAGACCCUAUAGAAUUUUAUAUAGAUUAAUUUUGUUUAAAAAAAUGAUGUUAAUUUAUAUUUAGUUGGGAGGAUUGUUAAAUUAAGGAAACUUUAAUUAUAAGAUAAUAUUGAUGAGUGAUUUAAAGAAUGAUUAAUUAAAAUAAGUAAGAAUUAAUUACCUUAGGGAUAACAGCGUUAUAUUUUUGGAGAGUUCAUAUUAAUAAAAAUGUUUGCGACCUCGAUGUUGAAUUAAGAUAAAAAUUAGGUGUAGAAGUUUAAUAUUUAAGUCUGU
rnacentral:rRNA from 1 species